rnacentral:lncRNA from 1 species
GCGGGGAGAGGCCGAACUGUAGUGGCUGAAGAUUUAGCUAGUCCACAAGCAGCAGGCGGUCAAAGAUGUCGAAGAAGAGUCCGAGAUCUUGAGGAGGAGGCUUCGAGAAUCAGAGGACGAGCACCGACGGUUCCACCAGAUGUUCCAGGAUAUACUACUGAAAAAGAGGGAACUAGAAGAGGAAGUCAAAGAUUUAAGGCAAUCUAUAGCAAGGGCCGGAGCCGAGAGCUCGA